rnacentral:misc_RNA from 1 species
GAUGAAGAACGUAGCGAAAUGCGAUACGUAAUGUGAAUUGCAAAUUCAGUGAAUCAUCGAGUCUUUGAACGCACAUUGCGCCCCCUGGUAUUCCGGGGGGCAUGCCUGUCCGAGCGUCAUUGCUGCCCUCAAGCACGGCUUGUGUGUUGGGCCCCGUCCUCCGAUCCCGGGGGACGGGCCCGAAAGGCAGCGGCGGCACCGCGUCCGGCCCUCGAGCGUAUGGGGCUUUGUCACCCGCUCUGUAGGCCCGGCCGGCGCUUGCCGAUCAACCCAAAUUUUUAUCCAGGUUGACCUCGGAUCAGGUAGGGAUACCCGCUGAACUUAAGCAUAUCAAUAAGCGGAGGA